GACGUAGGGCGCGAGCGUUGAUCCGGAUUUAUUGGGCGUAAAGAGCUCGUAGGCGGCUUGUUGCGUCAGCUGUGAAAACCCGCAGCUCAACUGUGGGCUUGCAGCUGAUACGGGCAGGCUUGAGUUCGGUAGGGGAGACUGGAAUUCCUGGUGUAGCGGUGAAAUGCGCAGAUAUCAGGAGGAACACCGGUGGCGAAGGCGGCAUCCUGGCCCUGACCUGACGCUGAGGCGCGAGAGCGUGGGGAGCAAACGGG
rnacentral:rRNA from 1 species